ensembl:lncRNA
UUUUUUUUUUUUUUUUUGAGACAGAGUUUCGCUCUUGUUGCCCAGGCUGGAGUGCAAUGGCGCGAUCUCAGCUCACUGCAACCUCCACCUGCUGGGUUCAAGUGAUUCUCCUGCCUCGGUAGGAGUAGCUGGUGGCAGGUGCCACCACACUUGGCUAAUUUUGUAUUUUUAGUAGAGACGGGGUUUCACUGUAUUAGCCAGGAUGGUCUCCAUCUCCCGACCUCAGGUGAUCCACCUGCCUUGGCCUCCCAAAGUGCUGAGAUUACAGGUGUGAGCCAUCACGCCCAGUGAAGUGUUUCUUAUAGAAUAGGAGGUUUAUACCUCUGUGGGUGUUUUGCCUUAGGUACUGUCAAAACUGAUGCAAUUAGUUUCUGAUGUAUAGGAGCAUACAAUCUAGGAAGAAUAACACAGAAGAAUAUACAGAGAAUUGUCUUAGACUGUUCAGGCUGACACGACAAAAUACCAUUGACGGGGUGGCUUAAACAACAGAAAUUUAUUUUUUCACAGUUCUGGAGGCUAGAAGUCUCAGAUCAGCGUGCCAGCAGAGUUGGGUUCUGGUGAGGCCUCUCCUCUUGGCUCGCAGACAGCCGCCUUCUUUUGUUCUCACAAGACAGUGCUGUGUCUUCACACAAUGGCCAUUCCUCUUCUCGUUGAUCAAACCCAAUUUCAGUCAGGUAUUGGCAGCCAUAUAUUUCAGAGGAGAUGAGGCCCCUCUCCAGCCCAACGGGGUCUUCUUCAAUGAUCUAAGUGAAUUCAGUCUAUCAGAGGUGACUGUUUCAUAACUACUAUUCUGAGUCCUGCAUCAUCCCAGCACCACUUUCAAAGGAACUUGUGAUAAACACCAUUUGAUGCUGGCAAUGCUGCACAUCUAUGAACAUCAAUGAACCAUCCAGUGACUGCUUUUGGUGUAGGUUGGAAUUGUGGGUUGAAGUGUGUCUCCUACAGAACGUGCUGAAAUCCUAACCGUUGGCACCGGUGAAUGUGAUAUUUGGAAGCGGGAUAUUUGCAAAUGUAGUUAAGUUGAGAUGAGGUCAUUAGGGUGGGCACUAAUCCAAUAUGACUGAUGUCCUUAUAAGGAGAAUGCCAUGUGAAGAUGCAGACAGUGGGAGAAGGCUACGUGAUGAUGGAGGCAGAGAUUGGAGUGAUGCACCUGCAAGCCAAGGAAUGCCAAGGGUUGCCAGGAGCCAUCCGAAGCUGGGAGAAAGAUAUGGAACAGAACCUCCCCUAGAGUCUUCGAGAGAACAUGGCUUUGCUGACACUUGGAUUUGGCCUUCUGGCCUCCAGAACUGUGAGAGCAUCAAUAUCUCUUGUUGAAGUUACCCAGUUUGUUGUUCUUUGUCAUGGCCACCCCAGAAAAAGAACAGAAAAAGAGCUGAUUAAUGACACAAGAAGAGAAGCAGCUGGGAACUUCUGGAAACAUUUCCUCCCACUCCCUUUGAGAAAGGGCAUCAUGAUGGGGCAUUUCUUCCACUGUUUUUGUCCAUCAUGAUUUUGGUGCAUGGAGUGGCUGCAGCCAUCUCAAAACUGCACGCGAUAAGCUGAGGACAAACAUUAACAUGCAGGGCCCUGGCAGAGCUGAACGUACAGGCCCAUGAUGAUGCCAUCGAGUGGACAAAUUAUCCCGGAGUCGCUGGAUUUCCUAUCGUGUGAGAUAACAAAUUUGCUCUUUCCUCGUGCCACUUUUAGUUAGGUUUUCUGAUAUCUGCCUACAAAACAUCUUUGAUAUUUCAAGGGUUAGUG